ACCCCUAAAAAAACAGUUUCACCAGUGAAGUAGAGCCGUGCCAAAUAUGAUCUAAAUAUAUAUAAAAAAUAACUAGUUGUAUAAUUUUCUUGUAAUUUAUGAACGAAUCAUUUAAGCGUAGUUAGAUCUUGUUUAGAUCCAUUUUUUAUUUUUACACUGUAGUAUUUUCAUUUUUAUUUGACAAACAUUGUCUAAUCAUGGAGUAACUAGGGUUAAAAGAUUCGUCUCUCGAUUUAA
rnacentral:lncRNA from 1 species